rnacentral:rRNA from 1 species
UACGUAGGGGGCGAGCGUUGUCCGGAAUGACUGGGCGUAAAGGGCGUGUAGGCGGCGGAUUAAGUCCGGAGUGAAAGUCCUGCUUUCAAGGUGGGAAUUGCUUUGGAAACUGGUUUGCUUGAGUGCGGAAGAGGUAAGUGGAAUUCCCAGUGUAGCGGUGAAAUGCGUAGAGAUUGGGAGGAACACCAGUGGCGAAGGCGACUUACUGGGCCGUAACUGACGCUGAGGCGCGAAAGCGUGGGGAGCGAAC